GGGUUGUGAGGUUAAGCGACUAAGCGUACACGGUGGAUGCCCUGGCAGUCAGAGGCGAUGAAGGACGUGCUAAUCUGCGAUAAGCGUCGGUAAGGUGAUAUGAACCGUUAUAACCGGCGAUUUCCGAAUGGGGAAACCCAGUGUGUUUCGACACACUAUCAUUAACUGAAUCCAUAGGUUAAUGAGGCGAACCGGGGGAACUGAAACAUCUAAGUACCCCGAGGAAAAGAAAUCAACCGAGAUUCCCCCAGUAGCGGCGAGCGAACGGGGAGCAGCCCAGAGCCUGAAUCAGUGUGUGUGUUAGUGGAAGCGUCUGGAAAGGCGCGCGAUACAGGGUGACAGCCCCGUACACAAAAAUGCACAUACUGUGAGCUCGAUGAGUAGGGCGGGACACGUGGUAUCCUGUCUGAAUAUGGGGGGACCAUCCUCCAAGGCUAAAUACUCCUGACUGACCGAUAGUGAACCAGUACCGUGAGGGAAAGGCGAAAAGAACCCCGGCGAGGGGAGUGAAAAAGAACCUGAAACCGUGUACGUACAAGCAGUGGGAGCACGCUUCGGCGUGUGACUGCGUACCUUUUGUAUAAUGGGUCAGCGACUUAUAUUCUGUAGCAAGGUUAACCGAAUAGGGGAGCCGAAGGGAAACCGAGUCUUAACUGGGCGUUAAGUUGCAGGGUAUAGACCCGAAACCCGGUGAUCUAGCCAUGGGCAGGUUGAAGGUUGGGUAACACUAACUGGAGGACCGAACCGACUAAUGUUGAAAAAUUAGCGGAUGACUUGUGGCUGGGGGUGAAAGGCCAAUCAAACCGGGAGAUAGCUGGUUCUCCCCGAAAGCUAUUUAGGUAGCGCCUCGUGAAUUCAUCUCCGGGGGUAGAGCACUGUUUCGGCAAGGGGGUCAUCCCGACUUACCAACCCGAUGCAAACUGCGAAUACCGGAGAAUGUUAUCACGGGAGACACACGGCGGGUGCUAACGUCCGUCGUGAAGAGGGAAACAACCCAGACCGCCAGCUAAGGUCCCAAAGUCAUGGUUAAGUGGGAAACGAUGUGGGAAGGCCCAGACAGCCAGGAUGUUGGCUUAGAAGCAGCCAUCAUUUAAAGAAAGCGUAAUAGCUCACUGGUCGAGUC
rnacentral:rRNA from 1 species